GACGUAGGGCGCGAGCGUUGUCCGGAUUUAUUGGGCGUAAAGAGCUCGUAGGCGGCUUGUCGCGUCGGCUGUGAAAACCCGCGGCUCAACUGUGGGCGGGCAGCUGAUACGGGCAGGCUGGAGUUCGGUAGGGGAGACUGGAAUUCCUGGUGUAGCGGUGAAAUGCGCGGAUAUCAGGAGGAACACCGGUGGCGAAGGCGGGUCUCUGGGCCGAUACUGACGCUGAGGAGCGAAAGCGUGGGGAGCGAACAGG
rnacentral:rRNA from 1 species